CACGUGGACACCUACCCUAAGGAGGGGGAUAACCCCGGAAAACUGGGGAUAAUACCCCAUAGAUUAUAGAAGCUGGAAUGCUCUGUAGUCGAAAGGUCCGCCGCCUUAGGAUGGGUCUGCGGCCGAUUAGGUUGUUGUUGGGGUAAAGGCCCAACAAGCCGUUGAUCGGUACGGGUUGUGAGAGCAAGAGCCCGGAGAUGGAUUCUGAGACACGAAUCCAGGCCCUACGGGGCGCAGCAGGCGCGAAAACUUUACAAUGCGGGAAACCGUGAUAAGGGAACCCCGAGUGCCCGUAAAAUCGGGCUGUCCAUCAGUGUAAAUAACUGGUGAAGAAAGGGCCGGGCAAGACCGGUGCCAGCCGCCGCGGUAAUACCGGCGGCUCGAGUGGUGGCCACUAUUAUUGGGCUUAAAGCGUCCGUAGCUUGAUUGUUAAGUCUCUUGGGAAAUCUACCGGCUCAACCGAUAGGCGUUCAAGGGAUACUGGCAAUCUAGGGACCGGGAGAGGUGAGAGGUACUCCAGGGGUAGGAGUGAAAUCCUGUAAUCCUUGGG
rnacentral:rRNA from 1 species